rnacentral:rRNA from 1 species
GACAGAGGGUGCAAACGUUGUUCGGAAUUACUGGGCGUAAAGCGCGUGUAGGCGGCUUUGCAAGUCGGAUGUGAAAUCCCACGGCUCAACCAUGGAAGUGCAUUCGAAACUGCAGGGCUAGAGUUCUGGAGAGGAAGGUGGAAUGCUUGGUGUAGAGGUGAAAUUCGUAGAUAUCAAGCGGAACACCGGUGGCGAAGGCGGCCAACUGGACAGAUACUGACGCUGAGACUCGAAAGCGUGGGGAGCAAACAGG